rnacentral:ncRNA from 1 species
CAAUUAACAUUUAAAUAUAUCUAUAUAUUGUCGUGAUAAGGACGGCAGUCUCUACUCAGAACCGUAAAUUCUGAACUAUAGGUAAUCGUAAGUUGCAA